AUUUUGGGGGAUUUUGGGGGAUUUUUGGGGUUUUUCUCUCACCUGUCUCACCUGUCUCACCUGGACGUGCCCAUCAAGGCUGGGAACGGUCCCAGAAUGGAGCAAAUCCAGGGGAUUUUGGGUUCCGCUGGCCCAAAACCGGGGAUUUUUGGGAUUUUGGGGGAUUUUUGUGGAUUUUUUCAGAUUUUGGGGGAUUUUUGGGGAUUUUUGGGGUUUUUCUCUCACCUGUCUCACCUGUGCUCACCUGGAUGAGUCCAGGAAGGUUUUGGGUUCCAUCAAGGCUGGGAAUGGUCCCAGAAUGGAGCAAAUCUGGGGGAUUUUGGGUUCUGCUAACCCAAAACUGGGGAUUUUUUGGGGUUAUCAGGGAUUCUUUUUGGGAUUUUGGGGUUUUUUUUCUCACCUGUCUCACCUGUGCUCACCUGGAUGGGUCCAGGAAGGUUUUGGGUUCCACCAAGGCUGGGAACGGUCCCAGAAUGGGGCAAAUCCUGGGGAUUUGGGGUUCCGCUGACCCAAAACUGGGGAUUUUGGGGAUUUUUUUGGGGAUUUUGGGAAUUUUGGGAUUCCCCUCCCCCGUCCCACCUGCCUGACGUGUCCCACCUGUCUCACCUGUGCUCACCUGGAUGGGUCCAGGAAGGUUUUGGGUUCCACCAGGGCUGGGAACGGUCCCAAAAUGGGGCAAAUCCGGGGGAUUUGGGGUUCGGCUGACCCAAAAACGGGGGUUUUUUGGGGAUUUUUUUGGGGAUUUUGGGAUUUUGGGAUUCCCCUGUCUGACGUGUCCCACCUGUCUCACCUGUGCUCACCUGGAUGGGUCCAGGAAGGUUUUGGGUUCCAUCAAGGCUGCGAACAGCCCCCAAAUGGGGCAAAUCCGGUGGAUUUUGUGUUCAUUGACCCAAAACCGGGGAUUUUUUUGGGAUUUUUUUGGGGAUUUUGGGAAUUUUGGGAUUCCCCUCCCCCGUCCCACCUGUCUGACGUGUCCCCCCGUCUCACCUGUGCAGCGCAGCUGCCGCGGGACCUGCAGUGUGCGCAGGUGCAGACCUUCGGGCCCGAGCAGUGCGCCCGCGCCUACGGCGGCGCCGUCACCCCCAACAUGUUCUGCGCAGGGGUGCCCCAGGGCGGCGUCGACUCCUGCCAGGGUGACUCCGGGGGCCC
rnacentral:lncRNA from 1 species